GGCGAGGGGAGUGAAAAAGAACCUGAAACCGUGUACGUACAAGCAGUGGGAGCACAGGUUUACCUGUGUGACUGCGUACCUUUUGUAUAAUGGGUCAGCGACUUAUAUUCUGUAGCAAGGUUAACCGUAUAGGGGAGCCGUAGGGAAACCGAGUCUUAAUUGGGCGUUAAGUUGCAGGGUAUAGACCCGAAACCCGGUGAUCUAGCCAUGGGCAGGUUGAAGGUUGGGUAACACUAACUGGAGGACCGAACCGACUAAUGUUGAAAAA
rnacentral:rRNA from 2 species